UAGCCCUACGGGACGCAGCAGUGGGGAAUAUUGCACAAUGGGGGAAACCCUGAUGCAGCGACGCCGCGUGAGUGAAGAAGUAUUUCGGUAUGUAAAGCUCUAUCAGCAGGGAAGAUAAUGACGGUACCUGACUAAGAAGCCCCGGCUAACUACGUGCCAGCAGCCGCGGUAAUACGUAGGGGGCAAGCGUUAUCCGGAAUGAUUGGGCGUAAAGGGUGCGUAGGCGGCCUGCUAAGUCUGGAGUGAAAGGUACCGGCUCAACCGGUACAGGCUCUGGAAACUGGCGGGGUAGAGAGCCGGGGGGG
rnacentral:rRNA from 1 species